rnacentral:lncRNA from 1 species
CGCGGCUACCCUCUGCAGGCCCGGCCCGCACAACAGAGGCUGUAUGCGAGAGGAAUGGAAAUGAGCCUCAGGCCCUGCCGAAGGAGCCCCAUCCCCUUCCCCGCGCGGGGCUGAGGAAUGCUGGCCAGCCGGAAAGGAACCCUCGCUGGGAACGCCGCUCUCGCGCCUCUGAAACCCCAUUGAGAAGAACCCUUUGAUGCAAUUAAAGCGCAUUUCAUUGCAGGCCUGGGAGGAGGGAACGACCGGCAAGCUUUUUUCUGUCUCGGACGUGUGUAUGCACCUUUGUGGGCCGGGUUACUUAGAGACCAGGCGGGAACUUGAGCUCCCUCUCUCGCAGACGUUCUGUAACAUCAGAAAAGCGUACCCAUAAACAGAUUGGUUUUCACCAGGGGUGGAACUCAAUUUGGACACGAUCCAGGCUGACCUGCAGGCCGGGGUUCCUACUUUGAAAGGCUCUUUGGUGCGCCUUACACCCACCUUCCCUGCUGUAAAGGUUUAGGCGGAAAAGAAAUUGCGUUUGCAGGAGGAAGUUGUUUCUGAGGUUACUGCUCAGCAUUUUCCAUUUUCUCAGUGGUGGGGUGGGCCGUGUCGCAUAUCCAGAAGUGAUGUCACAGCCAGACCUGCAAAAUGAUGUAACCUGCAAGUGUUGAAGGACGACGAUGGGACAGCUAUUUUGAUACUCGUAUUAUUUUAUAACAUUUCCCUGCUUUUUCCAUUGAGACAACUGUGUGACCUCAGAAAAUCCACAUAGCCUCUCUGAACUUAGUAUUUUUGUGUGUGUGUUAAAAUGAGUAUCACAAAGCCGGAGAACGAAUGUGAUGAAGUUCUGGGUGCUUGUGGAAUUCUUUCUAAGUUGGAGGUGGACACUUUAUCUACCUGCACAGGUGGAAGAUAUGUGGGUCUGGAACUCCGGUAAACAAAAAGAUCCUAUUGGGACCUCUA